UACGUAGGGGGCAAGCGUUGUCCGGAAUCAUUGGGCGUAAAGAGCGUGUAGGCGGCCUGAUAAGUCGGUUGUGAAAGUCAAGGGCUCAACCCUUGAAUGCCGACCGAUACUGUCAGGCUAGAGUCCGGAAGAGGCGAGUGGAAUUCCUGGUGUAGCGGUGAAAUGCGCAGAUAUCAGGAGGAACACCAAUGGCGAAGGCAGCUCGCUGGGACGGUACUGACGCUGAGACGCGAAAGCGUGGGGAGCGAACCGG
rnacentral:rRNA from 1 species